rnacentral:rRNA from 1 species
UGGGGAAUUUUGGACAAUGGGGGAAACCCUGAUCCAGCCAUCCCGCGUGUGCGAUGAAGGCCUUCGGGUUGUAAAGCACUUUUGGCAGGAAAGAAACGUCGCGGGUUAAUACCCCGCGAAACUGACGGUACCUGCAGAAUAAGCACCGGCUAACUACGUGCCAGCAGCCGCGGUAAUACGUAGGGUGCAAGCGUUAAUCGGAAUUACUGGGCGUAAAGCGUGCGCAGGCGGUUCGGAAAGAAAGAUGUGAAAUCCCAGAGCUUAACUUUGGAACUGCAUUUUUGAACUACCGGGCUAGAGUGUGUCAGAGGGAGGUGGAAUUCCGCGUGUAGCAGUGAAAUGCGUAGAUAUGCGGAGGAACACCGAUGGCGAAGGCAGCCUCCUGGGAUAACACUGACGCUCAUGCACGAAGGCGUGGGGGAGCAAAACAGGAUUAGAUACCCCUGGUAGUCCACGCCCUAAACGAUGUCAACUAGCUGUUGGGGCCUUCGGCCUUGGUANCGCAGCUAACGCGUGAAGUU